AGAUUCCUAUACGACUCUCAGUAAAAAUUUAUCCGCACUCCAGAUAGUUAAAACUUCUGUCGACCGUAUUGAUCCAUCUGCACUCUUCGUAUGACGUCAAUAUCUGUUCAGUGCUGCUGCGCAGGUUUCUUUGUGUUACGUCAAUUCGUUUGUGACCGUUGCGCGAGUAAUGGCGCUUUGCAAUGGUGAUUUGCAGGAAAACAGUGCAGGAUGCUGUGAUUCGUUUCUUGUGGUCGGAGGUUAUGUUUGAUGCCUAUAUUUAUCAAAGAUUUAAUGCACAUUAUGGAGAAAGUGUUUUGUCACGAAGUGUGUUUGAAUGGGCACAAAAGUUCAAAGAAGAUCGCACAAGUGUUAUGAAAAAACAGCUGGACGCCCGUCCACAUCCACGAUGACAACAUUGAACGUGCUCAUGAACUUAUGCUCUAUGGAAUAGACGAGUGACACUGGAUAAUGUGGCAAAUCAUUUGCAAAUCAGCCACGGCUCUGCUUAUGCAAUAGUGCACGACAGAUUUGGGUUUUAAAAAGUUUGUGCGAGAUGGAUGCCGAAAAAGCUGAUGAAAAGGUGAAGACGACGAUGCAUUCGUGGUUCGCAGCUCAGCCCAAAACAUUUUUUAAUGAGAAAAUACGAAGGUCCUUCGGCAAAUGGACAAAGUGUAUACAGAAAUCGAGUGAUUAUGUCAAAAAAUGAUGUAUGUCUUUUUUGACAAUUGCUUAAAAUAAAUUUUACACCGACAGAGCGGGUAACUUUUUACUCACCCUCGCUGUUAAUCUAGAGGCUGGAGUACAAAGAAGUGGCACAAUGAUGUGGGCUGAUGACAUUUAUAAUUAUCAAGGAAUCACCCCUACAUUCGCUCAGAAUUUUAAUGAAACUGUCCCUUGGGAAGGAAGAACUGAUACCUUGAUAUCACGGUUUGUACAUCCUAUAUACACGACAAAUUUUAGAACAUUAUAUAACGAAGAACCAGAUCGUCGUGGCCAUGUGAUGUGAAUAAAAGGACUUGCAUCUGAUGAUAUUUUUAUAAUGUUAGAUAACAUAACUAAGCAUCUUCACAGUAAGAUAGGAUGACAUGGUUUACAUGAACUUAAUGUUGUUCACUUGAGUGAUGAUAUUAUAAGGAAAAGUGUAAUAUCACAGGAUAUUUAUGUUUAGUAACCAGUAAUUCAGAGAUUGGUAUUCAUGGUUACUAUAACGAGGCUGUAGAAACGCACCCUUUCUUCUUUGCAAAUGGUCCUGUAUUUAUGUCUAAGCCGAAACUGGAACCUCUGAAUAAUUUAGAUUUAUUCUUGUUAUUUUCUAAAAUACUUAUCUACAGUAUACCAUAAGGAAUGAUACCGUAUCGCACCUAAUCAAGUGCCUUAAGAAACAUCAACAGGAUAUCACAGUAAUCCCUUAUCGACAGAUAUUUGUAGCCACUACAAUAUCUAUGACACUGGUAGUAAUUAUAAGAACAAUAACGAUGUUCUAUAAGAGGAAAUGAUGAUUAGGAACAAAAACUUACAGGAGAUAUCAUGCGGUGGAUGGAUAAUAUGUAAAAAAUAUUAAGCAGUAUAUGAAUUUUCAUAUUGCGUAGAGAUAACAAAAUGAAUUUUAAAAAAUGUCGACAUGGUAAUAAGAAAUAGCAUCAUGACAAAGAAUAUAUAAAGACAGUUUCAUUUUUUAUAAAUAAAAAUUUGUUGUUCCAGAUUUUGAAAUAUAGUGAAACGUUUAAUUAGUAUCUUAAUAUCUUUAAAUAAUUAUUAUUUUAGAAUCAAUUGUAAUUGUAUCAUACGUACUUUUGAAUUCGUGCAAGAACAUAUGUAAUUUUGAAGUAGUUAUUAUUAGGAAAUUGUUAGACGCGAACAGUAUGCAAAAAGUUAGUAUGCAGUGUAAUAAUUAUCAAUCAAAACACAAGAAUUAAAUUCUUGAGGAAAAAAUUUCCGGAAUUUCUUAUUUACACGAUUAUAAAGAAAUCCAUAAUAAAAAGGAGCUGCUUUCUAAUACUUCUCUUCCUUGUAAUGCCUAUGUUAAUAAUAACGAGAUUGAACAAUAUUCCAGAUUUAUUCAUAAUUUCAUACUACGCGAAGAAUAGACUUUCAUAGGUAUAUAAAGGAAAUAUUAAGUAUAGGAAAACUCUUUUUCAUUGUAGGUGACAUAUGCUUCACGGUUGAACGUAUUUUUGAACACAUAUAAAUGAAAAAGUACUCUUAUGGAGAAAAAGAAUUGAUACCUUCGAUUGACAUUAGAUAAUGUAUAUAAACUUAUGAACAAUCACUAUCGGUUUGUAUUUUAGGUGCACACGCAGAUUUGUUGGAGUUCUUAUAAAAUGUACUUCCUGUACGAACGUUUUAUUCUUCCAAAUUUUACGAUACUAUGUCUCAUAUAAUAACUAUAUGGAUUAAACGUAAUAUAAAUGAUCCGAAAAUAGACUCGAACGACAUUAAUUGUCUUUUUAUUUAUACCAAUAUGGAAAAUACAAGUAAAGCUGGAGCAAUAGUAUGCAAGAAUGGACUAUUUAUUAUUUUAAACCAAAUCAUAGCAUAUUCAGAAUGCACAGUAUUAUCAUGAAAUGUAAAUGAAUCAGUUGUAAACGAACGAUUUUACUGUAAAAUCAUUGCCUCCUUUUUUUCAUCUGAAAUAUAGCAGCAAUGAGUACAUUCUUUUAAUAUAUAAUAAAACGAGAUAUCUUUAUAAAGUUACAUAUGUCAUCACUGGUAACUGUUAUCUCGUAUGACACCAAAUAUACCGUUAGUAUGGAAUAAUAUUUUUAUGAAGAUAUACUUUAAUGAUAGAUUUUAUGAAUGAAACGUUAUAUAAGAAAAAUUAUCUCUUGUUAUUCUAUGAAGUGUAGUAGCUAAUGAAGAUUAAUUUUACGAAGUAUUAGAGCAAAAGAGAAUUAAAAAAUUAAAAAGAUCUAAAUAAGA